rnacentral:lncRNA from 1 species
CGCCGGAAACCAACUAGCGCAAUGGACCAACUAGGGGUGGGCGUUCGGGUAUCCGGGUUCGGAUCGGAUAUUUCGGUAUAGAGGUGUAGAACGUCAGAGUAUUUCUGUACUUCGGGUCGGGUUCGGAUAUUUUUAGUUUGGGUUCAGUUAUUGCAGAUCGGUUUCCGAUAUUUAGAUUUUGAAAAAAACAAAAUUAAAUUUUCAUUUCUCAAAUUUCUUGUAUUUAAAAAUAUAACUUUCACUUAACUAAUUUUUUAUUUUUAAUAAAUUGAAUGGUUAAUAGAUUUGGACAUAACAAUUUGAAACUAAAAAAACAUUAAUUUGGUAUUGUUUUUAAAUUUUGGAUGUAACUUUUUGUUAAUUUUUGAAAUAAAAAAUUUGACAUGCAUUUUAAGUGAGUAGCAAAACUUUUUCUCCGUAAUUUUAUGUAUGUCAUAUGAAUUUAAAAUAUGUGUAGUAUCAAUAUAAAUAUUUUAUAUAAAAUGAGAGAUGUAAACUAGAUUCAGAUUUCAGUUCGGGUUUCGGUUCAGAUUUUGGUUCGGGUUUUUCGGAUUGGAUUGGGUUCGGAUGUCACUUCAGAUAUUGAAUAAAGUGUCCACCCUUGACCAACACAACAUUGGUGGUUAAAACUCAUAGUUUACCAAAAAAAUAAUCAAAACUCGUUUAGAUGCUUUGUAUUUAGCUAAUUGUUUUAAAACUCAGUUUUUCUAACCACCAUAAACUAUUCAAACUAUUUUAACAACUUUUCUAAAAAAAGACUAUAAAAUUAUUAUUAAUUUUGUUAAAAAAUUUUAAUCUACUAGUUGAUCAAUGAUUCAUAAAAAAAUUUAAAUUUUGAUUUCAAGAUUUAUAGAAAUUAACGGAUUUAAAAAAUUAAAUAAAAAUCAUAUAAAUAGUUUCAUCUAAGUUUAAAAUAUUGAAAAAUCAGUUUAAAAAAAAAAGAAAACAUAAAAGAAAAGAAAAGAUGUAGAGAAACGACGGGUGCCUGCUGGUGUAGGAUAGAAACAGUGUAUGUGGAUGUAGCUUAUAACUACCCAAUCCCGUUGAACAUAUUUCCUCCGACCAGACCAUCCCCAGAAUAAUAAUAAUAAUAAAAUUCAACGGAGGCCGCCUUCCCUUCACCGGAUCACCUUCCUUCCUUUGGAUCUAUCUUCCCAUUCCGACGGUUCUUCGUUUCUCAGGUCUCCUCUUCCUUUCUCAUCUAUUCCCUUUUUAAAUCCUUUUUUAUUUUUUGCUUUAAUCGCUUGUUUCAUGGGCGAUCACUUUUCUCUCUUGCGAUCGGUGAAUUUUGAUUCUUCUGUCUACCCAUAAACCUCGUGUUGACAUGUGUUUCGCGAUCUAACAAUAUAUAUUAUUAGUGUUUACGGAUUGUUUUAGACAUCAAUCAUCGAUCCUCUCGCUGAGGAAAAUUGCAGUUCCUAGUCUUGCGAACUGUUGAUUUGUUCCUAAUUUGGGGGUUACUGAUCCUAGAGGAAUUGGAUUUCAUUAAUCUAUUUGAUUCAUCAUCAUCAUUAUGUGUUGCGUGCAGAGUAUCAAUAAUCAAUCUACCUUGGAACAAUGAGUGAGGUGUUUAACGGAUACGAGCGCCAAUACUGCGACCUCUCGGCCAACCUCUCCAAGAAAUGCUCCUCUGCUAUUGCCCUUGACGGAGGUAAGUAAUUCCAUAUCAUCUCUUGCUCCUCAUCCACUGCCCCUAACUUCCUUCCUCUUUUAUGAGUUACUACAAGCCUUUCUCUGCUUUCCAGGGCCGGCCCUAGGCCAUGCUAGGUGAAACAUUCGCAACAGGCCCCUAAAAUUUUUGAAAAAAAUUACAUACAAAUAAGCCCCAAAACAAAAUUUCAUACAGCAGGGUCAGACCUCCAGAAUCUCAGGUCUGGCCCUGCUGCUUCCCUUUGAAAGCUGAUGAUACCUUUACUGAUUGAAUUGCAGAACAAAAGAAGCAGAAGCUCUCUGAGAUAAGAUCUGGCCUCGAUAAUGCUGAAGCAUUGGUAUGUGUGACUCUGGAAUAUAGCAGUUUUUUCUUUAUUGUCCCUUUUAACAUUUUUUCUUAUUCACCAGAUUAGGAAAAUGGAUGUUGAGGCGAGGAGCCUUCCACCGAGCAUUAGGACCAGCCUCCUUGUUAAACUAAGAGAGUUCAAGUCCGAUCUCAACAACUUCAAAAGCGAAGUCAAGAGGAUCACAUCUGCUAACUUGAAUGCUGCUGCUCGCGACGAGCUGCUUGAAGCUGGUCUGGCUGACACAAAGACGGUAUGUAAAGAGAACUCACUAGUAUCUUUUUUGACAUCUUUUGAUUGAUCUAUGACAUUUGAGGGCAGGCUUCGGCUGAUCAAAGAGCGAGAUUGAUGAUGUCAACCGAUCGAUUGGGUCGAACCACUGACAGAAUCAAGGACAGUCGAAGAAUGAUGAUUGAGACUGAAGAGCUUGGAGUUUCUGUCCUACAAGACUUGCACAGUCAGAGACAGUCUCUCCUUCGCACUGGCGACACGGUAUGUACUCUCUUCUUCAGCACGAUUUUAUCAUGAAGAAGACUACGUUUUAUUUAUAUACUACUUGUGAUUGGUGUCUCUUUUAACCAAAAGUUAGAACUCUGAAACAUGCAGCUUAGUGGAGUAGACGAAAAUGUCGGAAAGAGCAAGAAGAUCUUGACGGGCAUGACCAGGGGGAUGAACAGGAACAAAUGGACCAUUGGAGCCAUUAUCACCGCUCUGGUCGCGGCUAUUAUCCUCAUCUUGUACUUCAAACUCACCAAGUAAUCCCUCUGUAUCUAAACUCUUUGUCGCUGAACAAAUGGUGUGUAUCUUUUAUUUAAUCCUUUUCUGGCUUUCUGUGUGAUAAGUUAUGUCUUUGCCACCUUUUGUAUUAUCACGUUCUCUUGUUUGCGUUUGCGAUUACAUUUGUGUAUUUUAAUACUGAAUGAUGCAAAUUGUUUUGUUUUAUUAUUACUAAACGCAAGCGUAAAUUACAUUUCAAACAAUUAGAGCCUAAGCCUUGAGAUUGAGAACUAGUUGUGUGUUUUUCUUUCAUUCUUGAACCUGUUAUAAUCAGCGAGCAAGCUCUCAAUAACCUUAUGUUUCAUGCUAUCCACCAAACCAGUCAAAAUCUGUAGAAACCAAAUCACAACCAAACAUUAUUUACAAAGCUGAAAUAGUGGAAAAUAUCGUUUUCGAGUUCUCAAACGCAUAUAAGAAACCGUUUCUAACCGCAUUGGCCACGCUUCUCUUAACAUCUUCGGGUACAAACGCAAGAACCGAAGGAAGGACGAAGCUUACGUUCAUCUCUAAUUGACCUUUGAGCCUUGUGUGGCUUCCGCCUCGGUCUGGGUACAAUGCUCCUUGAACUCCCAGAGUGAAAUCAGACUGUUCCAUGACCUGGCCAAGCCCUUGAAGCUCCCAUUUCAUCUGAAGGUAAACCGUUAAAAGGGAACAAAAGAGUGAGAAUCGUCAAGGGUUGUGUCUGUUUCUAUUACCAUGUUAAGCUCAAGAACUCUGGUUAUGUCUAGAGGUACAUCAGGCGGGUAAUCUUGACCGUUGGAUUUGCAUCUAAUUCGCAUGUCCACCACUGGCCUUGCAGUGAGGAAGAGGAAAUUUAUAGGUGACAUAUGAAUUCUCCAUUCUUCCUGCACAAAUAAAAUAUUGUUAGAUACCGAAUGCAUUCCCACUUACAUAAAAAGUAACACAUAUUAGCUACCUCGUUAAGCCUAUAGCUUCUAGGUUUAUCAGGAAACAUUGCUUUGAAAACCCUACACUUAUCCUCCAAAUACUCAUCGAACAACGCCUGAACUUUCCCGAAACGCGUCAAACACAUACACUGUUGUACAGUGAUGCAUAUAUAUAACUCAUUAUAGGAAAUGAGAGUGAGAAUGAGACCUGAGGAGACUCGUGCAAUUGAACAUCGGUAGAGAAUUUAGAUGAAUACUUGGAGGCUUUUACAGUUGACAACUGGCACUUGGCUCCUGGCCGUAAUGUUCUCAUCUCCGCCGCUGUAGACCUGAUUCUUCCCAGCAUUGUCGGACACGACAAAACUGUUGAGCUGACAGCCAUGUUAGUAGUCUCUCUCUAGGUUUUCAAGAUUGGAUGAUGUUUGAUCUUUCCCACAUGUUUGAAAGAUAAGGGGAUAUGUGUCUUUCGGCCUUGUAUGUAGACGUGGUAUAUCGAGGGACUAUCCACCUCAUCAACAUUUUGAAUUCUUGGCCCUCUUUGAUUUACUCCUUUAUUCACGUUUUUCUCACUAUUAAGAAGAAGACAAUCUUGUUGAACAAAUAAUUAAAAAAAAGAAGACAAUCUCUUUCUCUCUAUACUCUUUCAGUCUUUCUUCGGUUCUCUGUUAUGAAAACAGUCUCCUUUCUUUCGGCUAAAUCAGGUCAAUAACAGAAAAUUGUGUGUUUUUUUUACAGUGUUCUAAAAAUUGGUUUAGAUGACACAUUAAAAAAAGUCUAACCAUACAUUUAAUCAACAAUCUUCGUAAAAAGUAUAACUACCGCCUAACGAUUUUUUGCAUUGUUUUUCUCUCAAAAUAUUACAAUUGACAGAUUUAAUAUUCAAAUAUUAUAGUUACUCCAUAACUAAUAGCUCGACGGCAUAAAAUUGACAUGAUAUAGUCAAUAGUUUCGUCUAUUUUUAACAGUUGACUAUUAUAAUCCUAAUUUUUUUAAUUAUAAUCCUAGUUUUAUGGUGUAUAUAUAUACUAGUUGAUACAAGUUGUUUUGUUUAAUAUAAACGUAUACGCCAAACAUGGCGCAUAAAUUACAUUCAAACCAUUAAAGCUUUAGCCUUGAGAUUAAAAACUAAUGAUGUGUUCUUCUUUCAUUCUUAAACCUAUUAUAAUCAUCGAGCAAGCUCUCAAUAACCUUAUGCUUCAUAUUAUCCACCAAACCAUUUAAAACCUGCAGAAAGCAAAUAAAAACAUAAGAUAAUAUAUAAAUUUGGAAUAUAGUGUUUUGAAUUUGCAAAUGCAUUUAUUUCUAACCGCAUUGGCAACGUUUCUCCUAACAUCCUCUGGUACAAGCAUGAGAACCGUAGGAAGCACGAAGCUAACGUUCAUCUCUAGUCGACCUUUGAGCCUUGUGUGCCUUCCGCCUCGGUCUGGGUACAAUGCUCCUUGAACUCCAAGGGUGAAAUCAGAUGGCUCCAUGACCCGGUCAAGCCCUUGAAGCUCCCAUUUCAUCUGAAAAUAAACCGUUCAAAGAGAACAAAAGAGUGAGGUAUUUAGACUUUUUAGUACUUCCUCCAUUCAACGAAGAUAUAAAUCUUGGAUAUUUCACACAAUUUAAAUAUAAAUUUACAAUUCUAAAAUAUUUUUUUAAUACCAUAAUUUAAAAAAAAUCAAUUUAUUUCAACAGUAUUGUCUUAAUCAAUAUGAUCAGUAAAUAAAGGUAAACAAUUAUUCAUAAAACUUUUCUCUUUCUGAAACAAUUAAAAAUGUCAAAACUUGUAUUUUUGUGGAAAGGAGUGAGUACCAUGUUAAGCUCAAGGACUUUGGUUAUGUCUAGAGGUACAUCAGGCGGGUAAUCCUGACCGGUGGAUUUGCAUCGGAUCCGCAUGACCACCACUGGCCACGCAGUGAGGAAGAGAAAUUUUAUUGGCAACAUUUGGAUUCUCCAUUCUUCCUGCACAAGUAAAUCAUGUCGGUCUUUUCGUUAGAGUAACCAAAGAAUGCAACCCAGAGCCGUGCCUGACUAGAGGCUGAUCAAGCACUUGCUUGAGGCCAAAACGUAGAUAAAUAGUUUUAUGGGCCAAUUUCUUGGCAAGAGUUGUCUACAGAACAGUUGGUAAUAGUCUGUAUUAUUACUCUAGGGUCCCGGGUUCAAUCACGAGUAUAGCAGUUUGACCUUUUUUCCAAAAAAUUUAUAGUUUAUGGGGCAAAUUUUUUUUAGUGCUUUAGGACCCACAAUAUUCAGGCAUGGCCCUGAAUUGCAACCCCACACUUAUAAAAAUGGAACAUGGAUGUUACCUCGUUAAGCCUAUAGCUUUUGGGUUUAUCAGGAAACAUUGCUUUGAAAACCCUCGACUUAUCCUCCAAAUACUCAUCGAACAACGCCUGAAGUUUCAAAGCAUUACAACACAAACAGUUUUACACUGAUGCAUACAUAUAUAACAUUAUAGAGAUUGAAAGUGAGAAAGAGAUACCAGAGGAGACUCGUGCAGUUGAACAUCGGUAGUUAUUUUAGAUGAAUAUUUGGAGGGUUUUACGGGUGACAACUGACACUUAACUCCCCACCGUAUUGUUCUCAUCUCCACCGCCACCGACCGGCGUCUUCCGAACAUCUUCGGGCAUGACAAAACCAUUGAGCUUACAGCCAUUUUACCAGUCUUUCUCUCUCUUUUUUGGUCUUCAAGAUUGGAUGAUAUUUGAUCUUUCCCACUUUUCUCUCUCUCUAUAUUUAUAUAUAUCUUCAGAGGAAAGAUUGCGUCUUUGCUUCUCUUUAAUACGUUUAGAGACCUUUGUUAAAGAAAAUAGAGACAGAGAGUAACAUUCUCACGGUACGCAUUUGGAAGAUAGUGGAUUUCGAGAAAUAAUUGUUGAAACAUUGCUUUUCAACCUCUAUAGUAACCGGGUACAUAUUCGGUUUGGUUUAAUUGUUUCAGGUUUUGUAAGAAAUAUAAGUCCACUUCAUUUAAUUUAGUUUAGUUUGGUUUGGUUUAGUUAAGAGGUUACCCAUUUAUUUUGCCAUCUACGUGGUGAUAAUGUAAAGCCUCGUCUGUCACGCAGUUGUUGAUGAGAGUGACACGAGAACAUUGAACGUUGAGAAUAAUCUGUAGAAUAACUUCUAUCACACGCAGAGGUUUUGAAAAAAAAAAGAAAAAGAAUUCAUUGCUUUCGAAACCGACAAACUCUCGGACCGAAUACUAAGAAACCGGUUUACUUUGGCGCCUAGGAAUAUGGGUUACUAACUUUGACUUUUAAUGUAAGCAAUAAGCAAAGAUCUCUUGUUGUUUGCAACUCUUUCAACUCUAUAAUCUUUGUUUUUCAGACUGGCUAAGUAAAUUAAAACAUUAAAAUCUUAUAUAGUAUGUUACGAUGACUGUUCAUAAACGAUUUGUUCAUGUUGGAUUGAGAAACUAUACAUGGUUGAGCAUUGACAUUAAAAUUCGGCUUUAGUAGAUAACUUGUGUAAUCUUCUCUCGUUCUUGAACCUGCUAUAAUCAGCGAGCAAGCUCCCAUUAACCUUAUGCUUCAUAUUCUCCACUAAACCUGUCAAAACCUGUAAAUGGGUCCAAAUCAGAUCAUGUGUAAAUCAUAAGAGAUAGUCAAAUAAGGUUUUACAUACCGCACUGGCCAAGUUUCUCCUAACGUCUUCAGGUACCAAUUCAAGAACCGGGGGAAGAACAAAGCUUAUGUUCAUCUCUAGCUGACCUCUGAGCCUUGUGUGCUUUCCUCUCCGGUCUGGGUACAAUGCUCCUUUGACUCCCAAACUGAAGUCAGACGGUUGCAUCACUCGGUCAAGCCCUUUAAGUUGCCAUCUCGUCUGAAAAGAAGCAUUUAAGAGUUUGAGUAAUGGAAGAUGAAGAAACGAAGAGAGAGAAAAGUUAUUACCAUGUUGAGCUCAACAACUUUGGUUAUGUCUAAAGGUACGUCUGCCGGGUAAUCCUGACCGUUGGAUUUGCAACUUAAACGCAUAUCGACCACAGGCCACACAGUGAGGAAGAGGAAAUUAAUUGGUAACAUCUGAAUCCUCCACUCUUCCUGCAAAAAUUCAAUUUAUCCAAGUAGACUUAAAAUAGUGAAAAAGGGGGCGUUCCGAGAAUUGAACUCGGGACCUCUCGCACCCUAAGCGAGAAUCAUACCACUAGACCAAACGCCCGUUUUGAACGUGUUUUAUAUAUAACUAAUGUUAGUCAUAUUAGUUGACGUACCUCGUUAAGCUUAUGGCUUCUGGGUUUGUCAGGGAACAUGGCUUCGAAAACUCUCGAUUUAUCCUCUAAAUAGUCAUCAAACAACGCCUAAAAGUUCCUCAAAAUCACAUUUAAGAAACGCACCAAAACAGUUUAAACUGAAUCGUGUUAUAGAGGGAGAGAGAGAAGGAGACCUGAGGAGACUCGUGGAGAGGAAUAUCUGUGGAGAGUCUUGACGAAUACGUGGCAGGUUUUAUGGAUGAUACCUGACACCUAACUCUCCACCGUGUAAUUGGUCUCAUCUCCGUCUUCACCGGUCGGUAAGUUCCGAACAUGGGCGAUGACAAAACCGCCAUUUCACCGAUUAUCUUUUCAAUAUCAGAACUUUUAUAUAUUCCACAUUUCUCUUUUGAUUUCUCUCUGAAAGUUAAAAACUUUUGAAAGAACUUUUAGAUUUCUCUAGAGGAGUGAAGUUGCUUUUUGCUAGAGAUUUUGGAGGGAUAAGGGGAUAUCUGUCUUUCGGCCUUCUAUGUCGACGUGGCAUAUUUUGAGACUAGCCACAUCAUCAACAUUUGGAAUUCGUAGGGCCCUUCUUUUCUUUGUACUCCUUUCGGACUUUUCCUUUCCGUUAGUGGAUGAGAAUGACACGAGACGAAACUAAAAAAAAAAAAAACUCAAAUGUAUUAUCUGACGACAAAGGAAGGUUCGACAAACUAAACUCAAUCCUUAUUUUACAUUAGUUCCACUGUACAUGUUCUGUCAUAUUAAAAGAUCAAGAAUAUUCAAAUCCUACGAGCAACGCAUUAUAUUGUCGGAUGAAUUUCCUUGAAAGUGUAUGGUUUGAAAUUUCAGGACUGUAGAGGGCACACAGAUGAUCCUCCUAAAGAAUGUAGAUAUCAAACCUUAAGUUCUGUGAUUUGUUCUUCGAUUUCUUGCUUAUAAAAGCAAACUAAAAUGAAAUGUGGAACGUAAAUGCCACAAUUGAUUCACGGCUUCGUUGAGCUCACUUCACUCUCUUUGUUAAAACUCAAAUACAUCUCGAUCUUCUUAGUUCCAACAACCAAAGAGGAUACAAAAGACAAUCUUUCACGGUUUAUUUCUAACAUUAGUAAGAAAAGGACUCGUCUCUUUCUCUCUUAAUUCCUUCACGGUUAAAACCUCAAGUCAAACCGUCAACACACUUAUGGGCCUUAUCCAUUUCCUAACUGGGCCUUAAUUUUAAUUUUAAUUUCUAGUCCAAUCGGUAAUCGCUUCGAUCUGUCGGUAGACAGAAUAGAAUAAUGGUUUCGCCGGUUAAACCAGUCGGCAAUCGGUACGAUCAGAUUGCAUAAAAGCAAAUCAUAAUAAGUCACGUGGCACAGUUUACACGGUUCGUAGACUCGUAGUGGUCGCCAUGUAAACAGCGGGAAAACAGGGCCCCACACAUAUUAACUAAGGAGUAGGACCAACAAAAUCAUCACCACGAAACGCAGCGUUUCCCCUUCGUCUCCGCGUUUAAAAUCUUCUUUCACCCUUUCGUCAUUUCGUCAGAUCCAAGAGAGAGAGAGAGAAAUCAGAAAAAGAUCUUGAAACGAUGCCGUACUACACCAGAGACGAGGAUGAAGUCGACGAUUUCGACGAGUUCGAUCCGACGCCGUACAGUGGAGGCUACGACAUCACCGUGAUCUACGGCCGUCCGAUCCCUCCUUGCGACGACACUUGCUACCCUCUCUCCUCCGCAGCGGAUGAAGAUUUCGAGUACGAGAGACCUGAAUUCACCUCGUACCACGAUCCUUCCGCCUACGCCGAAGAAGCUCUCAACCCCGAGUACAGCAGCUACUCCCGCCCCAAGCCCCGUCCCGGUUUUCGACCCGGUUCUGCCGGAGGCGGUCACGUCCAAGGUGAGCGACCCGAUCAGAGUUACGGAUCCGGUUACGGUGGUCAGACGGAGGCUGAGUACGGUAGGAGACCUGAAUCGGGGUACGGCGGAGCCACGGAGACGGAGUAUGGCCGGAGACCUGAGCAGAGUUACGGAUCUGGUGGAUACGGUGGCAGAUCGGAGGUUGAGUCUGGUGGCUAUGGUGGUAGAUCAGAGGUUGAAUCUGGUGGAUACGGUGGAAGAUCGGAGUCUGGUGGCUAUGGUGGAAGAACGGAGGUUGAGUAUGGCCGGAGACCUGAAUCUGGAUAUGGUGGGAGAUCGGAGACGGAGACCGGGUACGGAUCCGGGUAUGAGAAGAAACCGAGCUUCGGUGAAGAGAGGAGCGAGUAUGAGCGCAAGCCUAGCUAUGGAAGGUCUGAGGAUCAAGAGGAAGGAGGUUACAGGAAGCCUAGCUAUGGGAGAUCUGAGGAUCAGGUUGAGAGCUACAUAAAGCCCAGCAGCUACGGGAGGUCUGAGGAAGAGGAAGAAGGAGGCUAUAGGAAGCCUAGCUAUGGAAGGUCUGAGGAACAGGAGGAAGGGAGUUACAGGAAGCCUAGCUAUGGCCGUCGUAAUGAUGAUGAUGAUGAUGAGGAGCGCAGGAACCGUUCCGGUGAUGAUGAGGAAGGGAGCUAUGGCCGCAAGAAAUAUGUAAGUUCAAUAAGUUAAUUAUAUAAAGUUAUAGUCAAUUUGCAUCUAGAUUAUUGUGUGGAAAUUAAGUUUAUUGAUUGUUUAAACAUAAAACCCUUUUGUUGAUGGACUGAUCUCAACAUUGAAACUAAAGAUUAUAGUUUUGGUGAUAACAUCCAUUACCCCCUUUAACUUCAUUCGUUCAGUAUUUGAUUUAACAUUGACAUCUUGUAGGUUAUAACAAUCAUAGUACAGAACUUGCAUUGUGUUUUUUGCGUCUCGUUUGUUUUGAAAAUAAGUUUUAGUUUGGUUUUGAUCACAGUGUAGCGGUGUAACUCUGUUUUCACAUCCUGAAAUGGAGUUCCUUAAUUUGAAAGCUAUGUUCUACAAUCCCAUAAUAACGUUCCUGGUUCAAUGUUUGUUUGAAUAUAGACAUCUUGAAUAUGUCCCAUUGUUGAUCUUAGUGUAGAGUAGUCUCCAUGUUGAACUAAAGUGUUUGUCUUUCAUACCCUGUAACUCUGUUUUCACAUCCUGUAAUGGAUUAGCCUCGGUUGAAAGCUAAGUUCUUUGAUUGAAAUUGCACAUCAUGUAUAUGACAUUUGAAGAUCAUAGUUACAGAGUAUCUAUCUCCAUUGUUAUGGUGACCGUUAAUAGAGGCAUCACUGACUAAAGCUUUCGCUUAACGUUAUUCAUCUCUGCAUCAAAUUCUGUAGGGUGGCAAUGACUCUGAUGAUGAUGAGGAGAAGAAGCAGCAGCGUUACAAGCAUCACCACCACCAGAGGCGUCGUGAUGAAGACGAUGACUAAAGCCCUCACUCAGUGCUGGAAUCGAGUGCUUCUACUUAGCUUCAUAUUACUAAAUAAAAAGCUAAGGCAUAUUUAUCUUUGGAUGUUGUUGUUGUGUUUGUUUGAUUCUCUCUAGAUACAGCAGAGUCUGUGUCUGGGUUUGUUUCUGGUUCAUUAUAAGACCUUGAAUUGAUAUCGGGUCAUCAUCAUGAUGUUAAACUGUUGCUACUCUGUGUUUCGUUUUUAUUUAUGGAACUUUUCUCUUUUAUGGCUUCUGUUGUUUUGGUUUUGUCGAUAUUAAUAUUAAAAAUCAAAAGUCAUUGCCGAGAAGGAAAAAUAUUUUGUGGUAAAAGCUAGAUUCGAUUUUUUAUACUGAAUAUUUUAUGAUUAAAAACAGAAAAAAGAAAAUCGGUUUUGUAAUAGGAAUGGGUUAAUCAGAUACCUAUAUGUACAUUACACAUCUUUUUGCUUCAACAUCAGAAACUUACAACCAAACAAUUCUAAAAGAAGCAAUGUCAAGCGCUACAGUCCUCGAUGAAUCUAGCGUUCCUAGCCCCAGGAGUACAUGGAGGUGAGAUUCCACUAAAUAUAUUGUUAUGUAACAUAAGAUUUUUGAUUAUAAACAUUAUUAUACUGAAACGAAUUUUCUGGUUGGUUGCAGGAUGGACGGGCAGUUACGAUACGACAUUGCGAUGAACACCAUCAUUAUAAUCCUCAUCACUGAUGCGGUCUUACAUAUGACUCUGAGAGCCCACAAGAUUCCCCUUGCUGAUAACGUUGAGGGACUUUUAUGUACAUUUGUAGUUGCGUACGUGUUUGUCAUCACGACUAAUUGCGGGUAUUGGCUUACAGCAAGCGAGGAAGAAGGGUGUUUACUUGGAAUUUACAUCACGGGACGCCUUGGUCACACGUUAGGCUUUUGUAUUUUCCUCUGUCUCCUCUAUUCUAGUUCUCACUUGGCUAUGUACGUUGCUCUACCUUGUUUACUAUGUUUGGUGCCAGCCAUGUUUGCACCGUGUUGUCCAUGUCUGUGGAGAGGAGAGUCAACUUGGUGGAAUUUUGUGAAGCAACCACAACCAACAGUAGAUAUUGUUUAACUUUUGGACUAUUAUUAUUAAUAGAAUUUUUUAAUUCCUAAUUUUGUAAACAUCUCGUCAAUUGUUUGUUCUUAACUUUUCUCUCUUGCGAUCGGUGAAUUUUGUUUCCACUGUCUACCCAUAAACCUCGUGUUGACAUGUGUUUUGCGAUCUAACAAGAUAUUAUUAUGGUUUAGGGAUUGUUUUAGACAUCAAUCCUCUUUUGAUAUGGCUGAAGAAAAUUAAGAGUUCCUAGUCUUGAUUUGUUCCUGCUUAAUGUAAUUUGGGGAAAGUGAUCAUUUAUCUUUUGGUACAUUAUCAUUGUGUGUUGCAUGCAAAGUAUCAAUCUACUUGGAACUUAACAUUGCGUUAUUUGCAUCUAGCUUGUUUGGAAAAUAAGUUUUAAUUUGGUUUAAUCCCGUUGUUGAUCACAGUGUAGUGUGAUCUCAAUGUUGAACUAAAGAUAUCUUUAGUUUGUUCUUUAGAUUCUUUAUGAGUUACUACAAGCCUUUGUCUGCUUCCCUUUGGUUACAGGCUUGUCAUUACUAGUUGUAGAUCAUCAUUGAUUUUGCAGAACAAAAGAUGCAGAAGCUGUCCCAAAUAAGGACACAAGGACAUAAGUUUGUGCUUUAGAUCCUUUAUGAGUUUAUCUUCAGUUUUUGCGUUUUAGAUCCUUUAUGAGUUAUUACAAACCUCUCGACUCUUGUAAGGACAUAAGAUCUGUGCAUUAUCUGGUUACUGGCUGUACAAAGAGCUUGUCAAUUACUAGGUGUAGAUCAUCAUUGUUUCUGUUUGUUAAGAUGCAUUGAUGACACCUUACUCAUUGAUUCCCGAAACAAAAGAAGCAUAAGCUCUCUGAAAUAAGGCGUGGCCGCAAAAAUGCUAAAGUGUUGGUAUGUAGUCUAAGGCAUAGAUCGAAUAAAGCAGCGUUUUCCUUAUUGUCCCUUUGCUUUGUACAUUUUCUUAUUCACCAGAUUAGAAAAAUGGAUCUUGAAGCCAGGAGCCUUCCACCAAGCAUUAAUUCCAGCCUCCUUGUCAAACUAAGAGAGUUUUCAAGUCUGAUCUCAACAACUUCAAAAGCGAAGUCAAGAGAUCGAUGAGGUCAGCUGAUCGAUUGGGUCGAACCACAGACAGAAUCAAGAGACUGAAGAGCUUGGCGUCUCAGUCCUCCAAGACUUGCACAGUCAGAGACAGUCUUCCUCUCCUACGCACUAACGACACGGUAUGUGCUCUCUUCAACAAUUUUCUCUUACACGGGUUUUAUCAUGAAGAAGAAUACUACGUGUGAUUGGCAUCUCUUUUAACCAAUAGCUCGUUCUCUGAUACAUACAGCUUAGUGGAGUAGACGACAAUGUAGGAAAGAGCAAGAAGACCUUGACAGGCAUGACUAGGAGGAUGAACGGGAACAAAUGGACCAUUGGAGCCAUUAUCACCGCUUUGGUCGCCGCCAUUAUCCUCAUCUUCUACUUCAAACUCACCAAGUAAGCCUCUGUAUCUAAACUCUUUGUCGCUGAACAAAUGGUGUGCUGUAAGUAGUAACAGCUGAUGACGAGGAAGAAGAUAGAAGGAAGCUAAGACUCUGAGGGACAAAGAGGCUUCUGCAGUUACAGUGAAGCUACUGUAUAAAUAAUAUUAUAGAGGGAGUGAAAGAGAGACUUUAUCGAUGUAUUAGCUCAUGCCUCAUAGUUCCAGUUGAUACUCUAUAUUGUGAGAGAGAGUGAUACAGUUGUAUUGUGUGUGUUAUGGAUCAAUAGAGAUUUGGUUCAUGACAUCUGGCUUUUAUCUGUGUGAUAAGUUAUGUCUUUGCCACCUUUUGUAUUAUCACGUUCUCUUGUUUGUGUUUGCGUUUACAGUUGUGUAUUUUUAUACUAAAUGAUGCAGAUUGUUUUGUUUAUUAUUAAAAGCAAGCUUAAAUUACAUUUUAGACAAUUAGAACUUAAGCCUUGAGAAUAAGAACUAGUUGUGUGUUUUUCUUUCAUUCUUGAACCUGUUAUAAUCAGCGAGCAAGCUAUCAAUAACCUUACGCUUCAUGCUAUCCACCAAACCAGUCAAAAUCUGUAUAAACCUGGAAUAUAGCUGGUUCAUAAUAAGACCUUGAACUGAUAUUGGGUCAUCAUCAUGUAAACAGCUGCGACUCUGUGUUUUGUUUUUGUGCUAUGAAAAUUUCUUAUUUUAAAGCAUAACUUCUAUUGUUUUUCUUUUGUCCAUAAGAAAAUUUAUUUUGUCGUUAAAACCAAUGUGACCACACAAAACCACUUAUCUAAUCUAAUCUAGAAACAAUAUGAAACAAGCUUCCUGCCAAAGACAUACACCACAGUUACAACCACCUUUGAAAUCGACAUUCCAAGUAUAAACCAUCUUGGCCACAUGCUGUGAACAGUGGUUGAUCCUUCAGCUUCCUUACGCAGCUGUGAAGGUUCCAAAGAAGAGUGCGAUGACAAGCCACAGUAAGAACCAUCUAGUAUUGAGUUUUCUCCUCAGUGUCUCCGCUUUGUUGGCUUGUGGAGUUGUGCCAAGUUGAAGUACGUCGCCACGAAACCAAUGUUGUUGAGCAGGAGAUAGACAGUGUAACAUCGCGUGUCUCUGAAACGUAUGUAGCCAUUUGAAUCGAGUCCACUAGGUGGACUUGAGAAGGAAGCCACCGUGGUUAGGCCACCGAUGGCCAACACGAACUUGGUAAGUUCUUCUCGCUCUUUGUAAAGAGCCUCCAAAGGAUCCUGAAAUAAAUAAAGCGUAUGUAGCCAUGUGAUGUGGACUUGAGAAGGAAGCCAAUGUGGUUAGGCCACCGAUGGCCAACACAAACUUGGUAAGUUAUUCUCGCUCUUUAUUAAGAGCCUCCAAAGGAUCCUACAAUAAAGUGUACAAAUUUUGUAACUCAAAUCUUUUCCUCAUUCUCAGACAUCUCUCGUAGAAGACAUACUAACCGGUUUGCCUGAGAAAUAUAAAACUAAAUGUUUAAAGUACAUGCUUCUUAUAAAAUCAAUCUACAACUAUUCAAUAAAACUUGAUUUGCUUUUAUUAAACCCAUUAAAAGCAUUUACACACUCAAUCACACAACUAUACUUAAAUGCCACGACUUUCUCUUGUUCUAAAUAACUUUACGUCUUUACAUGUGUCUCAUUUGUAGACUUUCGUUACUACAUGUAACAUUUUUUCCAUGACUUUCAUGACCCGAAAUGAAGCUUUAAAAGUUCGUGAAACUAGUUUUCAAUAUAACAGUUCAUCAACUUAUCAACACAUUUACCUUAAUAUUCUAUGUUCCAAUAAAAUAAACAAACUUACUGCGAUUAUCGACGAAAUGGAGCUGAGGUUGAGGAAAGUCCUUGAUUUCCUAUCUUCAACAAAAAUAAAAAAGUAAAGAAAUGUUUUGCUAUUACAACAGCUUAUGUAGUGAUUCAGAUAAAACAAAAAAAUAAACACAACCUUCUGAUUGAUGCCACAUGAAAAAUGAUCAAUGUCUCUAAGCUUCUCAUCCUAAACGCCUUCCCCAUACAAUUUACAAAAUUUCUUCUCCUCUACAACUUUUGUCGUUAUGCGAAGAUGGUGACCCUCUGUUCAUUAAAUCGAUUGGGCUUUUUUUUCUUUCUUUUUUAGUAUCAUGUGCUUAAAGAUCCUAUUAUAAUAUUCUAAGUACGUUUUUCAUAGACGAGACAUCCCAAAUUUUUAUCUUUACUUUUCCUACACCAAUUCAUAGCUAUUUAUAUUUUGACGCAAACUAUAUAAAAUCGGAUCAGUUUACUCAAAACCCAGUACGUGGCUAAUCGUAAAAGAUACAUAGAAGUAUUCAACAAAUCAUUUCAUAUCAUUCAUUCAUUCACCCACAAAGAGCUCUCAAAUUGGUUUCGCAACUACAAAACAUCGAAUCCGUUCUUGGAUUAGGGUUUUGAGAUUGAGUCUCAUCAAUUUUUUUUGUUUCUUAUUGUAGAAAACUUUCACUUUGAGCUACAAGACAACUACUAGUGAAGGAGACCAGACAGUUCCAGAUCCGUUUCCAAAGUUGUUGGAUAAUUUAGGACCAUCUUUAGUACAUUUGUUCUUCGUCCCUGAGAAAAGAGGAGGAUCGAGUUAGGUUAAAUUUGCUACAGGUUAUGUCAAAUUGUGCGGGAGAAUGUCGGUAGUAAAAUGAACUUACUUAUGCACCUUAGUGUUUGUUAUCACACCUGAGUGUGUUGAGAUUCACAAUCUGAUUUUGAUGGAAGAAAGCGGGAAGAAACUAGUUAGCUACUUUCUUGAGAAUUCAUUUGUUCUCAAGAAACUCAUCCCGCGUUUUAGGGAUUCUUUAAUAUAUCUUACUCAGAUUUCUUCAAGGAGCUUCUUAAAUUCAGAAAGCGGUCUUGCAGUUGUCCGAUUAUUUUUCUUUGAGAAAUUGGCGAUUAGAGUUCAUUAUUUAUUUUGAUUUUGAGUAUCAUUGUGUAUGAAUUUCGUAUGGAUUGUAGAUUUUAUUAAAACCUGUUCCAUAAAGAUUUAUUUUUUGAUGGAAAAAGAGUAAACGACUUUAUAAGAUUUUGUUGCAGUUAAAAAUUAAAAGAUAAACAAAUAUAUAUUAUGUAUUUAUUUAUGAAAUAAGAAAAUUAAUUAAUACUUGAUUUGACAUUGUUAUCUUUAAGAAAUUUUAUACCUUCCAACAUGUUAAUAAAAUUGAUUACAUUAAAUAUAUCAACCGUGGCAGUUACAGCCCCCGAUUAAAGCAUUUGAUCUAGUCAGUAGAUUUCUUGGAAAUCAAGUUUCGAUUCCAUUUCAUUUGUGCAUGUUAAACGCCCUAGUAAUAGUUGUGCUGACUUCAAACAGAUCGGAGGCUUACUGAAUUUGAAUUUGGUCGACUUUGAGAAGGUGAACAAAAUUCGAUUGUGAGUUAUUUCAAAAACGUUUUUAUUGAUAAGAUGAAAAAGAGGUUACAGUGUUUGGACAUGUAAAGUAUAAAACACAAAUAUAAGUUGUUGUUUUUAACACUAGAUAAAUUACCAAUUACUAAUGAACAACUAUACAGAUAAUAAAGAGCCUACAAUACUUUGAAAUGUUCGAAGAGCUUUGCAUAUAAUAAUCUGUAAUAAACAAAACAUAAGUGUAAAAAUCUUUAAACAAUAACCAUUAAACUAUAGUGCUUAUACGAGUCGUAUUUGUUGAAAACAAAACAAGUAUGAGUCGUAUGACCUGAACAAAACAAAAUCGAAUAACAAACCGGAUCUAAUUGACCACUAACCGGAACCGGUUCAAUCGGGAAUUGACUCAAAUCCCAUUAAGCGGCGCAUCGCGAGAAAAAGAGCCAGCAACUGUUCAAAAUAUCUCAAUAGAUAGAUCAAAAAGCAAUCAUGGACACCAUCAUUCAUUAACAAAUAUCCUCUGAAACCUCCGUUUGAAUUAUUUCUAUCUUCUCACAUCGCAUCAUGGGUGCUUCAUCCUCUACAGAUAAUAAAGAAUCAUCGGAGAAGCGAGAAAUCGAAAGCCUCGCUGCUUCCACCGGUGCUCUUCCUCUGCUUCAACGAUUUUUCUCCAAGCUCGCCGAUCCUCAGACCAACACUGUUUCCUUCCAAUCAUUCAAGGUAAUAACGAUUAGGGUUCUGAUUGUUCUUAAAGAGAAUCUGGAUUUGCAGUUACAGUAGUUUUGGGAUUUGAUCGGAUCGUGAAUUAGUGUUUUGACACUGAGUUUGAUCGGAUCAUGAAUUAGGGUUUUGAGACGUUUCAUCAAUUUUUUUUUGUUUUGUUUCUUAUUGUAGAAAAGCUUCACCUUGAGCUACAAGACAACUACUUGUGAAGGAGACCAGAAAGUUCCAGAUUCGUUUCCGAGGUUGUUGGAGCAUUUAGGACCAUCUUUAGUAGAUUUGUUCUUCGUCCCUGAGAAAGGAGGAGGGUUGAGUUGGGUCGAGUUUGCUAGAGGUUAUGUCAAAUGCUGCGGAAGAAUGUCUGCCUCCAUGUCUUACAACACUCUGUUGAGAGUGUUUCAUCUGACAUCUCAAAACGCAGGCUUUUCCUCGAAGCUGGAGUUCGAAUCUGACGAAGCUGAUUGUAAGAUCAACGGGUCGGUUUCCACCGUAGAGUUGGUUAUGUUUCUGUGGAUGUGUUGGACGAUGUCGUGGGAUGGUCGAAGCAGUAGAUCCAGCGACUUGUUUCUUCCUGAUAUAAGCCACUUGGUUAUGUCAGCGCUUGUGUCUUGCACCGAGUCUGGAGCUAGUUUGGAUGUUUGGGAUUCUGAUGUUUUCGGAUUGGAGCUCGAGCUUCCUGUCGGGAAAUUCCUGACGUGGGCAUUGACGACGAUUCCAAGCCUCACUGAGUGUCUAUCUCACUUCUGCAACGCGAGGCUUCAGCAUUGUUUAAAUGCAGAGGUACUCUUUCUUUACCUGUUGCUUUUCAUUUAACCGUAUGGUGUUCACUAAAAGUGGAUUACAGGAUGGAUCUGGGCCUUCAAAGUCAGCUGGUGGAGAUGAUUCUGCGUCCAAGACAUGUGAUAACACUCUUCUAACAUGUGGAAGGGCAUGGGCGAUUUCUUUGACGUCCAAGAAUACCUUAAGUGAGGAGAUCUUGAGCUCAUGCUUUCCCUGCAAUGGCGAUGAACCCAAUGAAAAUCUUCUUUACCGGUAUCCCACUGUCCUACUUCUGUGAAGGUUCUGUCUCUAUAGUGUAACUUAACGUGUUCAAUGUUCAUCUGUCUUUCAGCUCAUACCAUCAUGGGAAAGGCAUGAAUCGAUUGUGGGACAACGUUCAAGGGUAUCAUGCUCCUAUACUAUUGCUAGUUUCUGCAAGCGGUGGAGUUGAGCAGGAGGGUAGUUCAAGCGAGAGGAAGUGGGUCAUUGGUGCUAUCUUGCAGCAAGGUUUUCAGAACAGAGAUACAUUUUACGGAAGCUCUGGGAACUUGUUCUCCAUUAGUCCUGUCUUUCACGCAUUCUCAUCUUCAGGUACUGCACACAUCAGAGAAUUUUCGUAGGCGUAGUCAGUUGUUUUGCAUUAGUGUAGUCUUAUAUGGUUUUGUGUUCAACUUCAGGGAAAGAGAAAAACUUUGCAUAUAGCCAUCUUCAUCCCUCUGGUAGAGUCUAUGACGCAAACCCAAAGCCUGUUGGAAUUGGUUUCGGGGGAACACAAGGAAACGAGAGAAUCUUCAUCGACGAAGACUUUGCUAAGAUCACAAUCCGUCAUCAUGCAGUUGAUAAAACUUACCAGCCUGGCUCUCUCUUCCCAAACCAGGUAACGCAAGUGCUGGUCUAUAUAUAUGAUUCAAGUUUUGUGGUCUUGGAUAUUUAUAACAUCUGUUGUUGCAGGGUUAUUUACCAGUAGAGGCUUUGGUGUCAGAUGUUGAAGCAUGGGCAUUAGGUGGAAAAGCAGCUAAGGAAGUUCAAGAAGCAUACAAGAAAAGAGAAGAGCUUUUCACUGACCAACGUCGAAAGGUAAGAAAAGAUCAAUAAGAUCUAUUUAUGCAAAUGCACAAAAGGACUUGCAAGUUUGACAAGUUGUUAUAUGUAUCUACAGAUUGAUUUGAAGACGUUUACGAAUUGGGAAGAUUCACCUGAGAAAAUGAUGAUGGAUAUGAUGGGGAAUCCUAAUGCUCCGGCUAGAGAAGAGAGGUAAUGAGUGAGGGGAGCAAGACUUGUUUGGUAUAUUUAUGCACAUACGUUUUCUCAAUAGAGGUUUCGUCUGUAAAGUAUAUAUUUGAAGAAACUCAUUUGCUGUUUGCGUAAGUUAUGUUUACUAUUAUCGUUGCCAAAACUCGAACCAGAGUGUUGAGUUUGAGAUUUACCCAAUAAAAAAGAGUUUUAUUUGAAGAGUUUUAUAGACGUUACAAUGAAUCAACAAGUAGAUAAUUGUGGUUUUAAGUUUCAACUAAGCAACUCUUUUCGUGUGAAAUGGUUUCCAGAGCUCUCUGCUUUCUGCUGAGAAUCAUCUCCAUCACUUUAUUCAUAGACUUGAUCUCCUCCUCUGCCUUCUUUAUCUUUCUUUCCUCCGACUCUUAUCUUCUUUCUUCUUUCUUCUUACCAAAACCAUUUUACUCUUUUCUUCAUCUCUUGCCUCACAGAUCCUACAACAAAGAAGGCCAUACCAAAACUUGGUUUUCUCUAAACCGAAUCAAUUUUAGUUAUAGUUCGGUUCAUCCUAACCCAAAAAAAAAACUAAAUGGCUUAAAAAUCGGUUAGACCUGAAUCUGGUUGCGUAAGCCUUUGGUAGAAGGUGAUGAACUUCAUAGAGAAGCUGUACAAGGGGGAUUAAAAUACUUGGUUUCUCUCCCAUUCAAGUUCCCUUACCUUUCUCUCACAUUCUUCUCUAUCCAUUCUCUAUCCAUUGUUCCUGUGUUAUUGUUAUUUUCUGGCCAUCUCAACCACCUAUGUAACUUCCCCAUCUGUUCUAGAGAAAUAGACCGAUGUAACUUCCCCAUCUGUUGAGUGGUACGGUAUUGUGCUCAAAGUCCCCUUGAAUACUAAAUUGGAAAUGUUGCUGUUGCUACGGUUUUGACGAUAGAAUAUAACUCAUAUGACAGGUUGGAAACUGAAUUAUUUUCUUUCAAACCAUGUCUUCAAAUCGAUCACAUUAGUUUUGGUUUUGCUUUUUGUUUCAAUGUUAAAUCAAUGUCCAUAAAAUUGGUUUUGUUCUUUUAUACUCUCACUAAAAAUAGCAGCAUUCUUAUUAAUAGAUGUAUACAUUGUGACAAAACUCAAUUCUAGUUAAUACAUCCUCUAUUUUUGAUGAAAAAUAUAAGUUAGAGAUGCUCUUACACAUUGAAUCCACAAGCUAAUGACCAACAAACUAGUUUAUUCAAAGUGCAUAAUUUACUAGCAAAACCUCCAUUAAAAACAGUGCUUGACAAACAUGAAUUCUCUCUUUCAAGCUCAAGAACAACGCUUAAACAAUAUAUGUAUCAGGUAGGAUUCAAAAGCUCUAAUCCGAAACAUGAAACAGAGUAUCACAAGGACAUGCAUAGGUAUUCAAAGCCUUAUCUGCUAUACUUCCUUUUAUCUGCUUUAAGUUUAUCCCUAAAAUCACACCAGUAUGUUGGCUCAUCUUGCAAAACAAGCCUCACCAGCUUCUUAUUGAGAAAAUGAAGACAUGAAUUAAACUUCAUGGUUUCUGAUCAAAAGUUGACAUCAAGAAAGAAACAAUACAAAUCUAUAUGUCCCAACCUGAAACCCAAAGCUUGAGACACAUAUCAAGAGUUAUACAUACCCAAAACUGAACAAGAGUAAACCCAAAUCAAGCGAGCAAGCAUAUCAUUGCUUCUUGUCUUCUGCUUUCCUCGGCUGCAAAAAAACAACAAACCAAACCAACACACACAAAGAUCAGUUCUCUCUUCCUCUCACAAUGAUAAAAUGUGUGAAAAGACAAACGGACCUUAACACCAGGAGCUUCUUGGUGAAUCUCUUCCUCAGGGAUGAUGACAGGCCACUGCUCCCCGGCUUCACGGAACAUCUGCUCCGUCUCGAGAUACUGCCCUUUAUCAAGAAUCAUCUUCCUGAUCGACUGAGCCGACGUGGCAGCCGCAUCGAAAGCUUCCUCGACACCAUUGACGAAAGUGACACUGAUCUGCGGUGGCUGAUCGUCGGUUCUGCGUUUCACCAGAACCUGACAGUUAGGGUUGGACUCUUUGGCCUUCCUCGCGUUGCACUGAGCCAAGAACUCGACGCAGGAGGCGAGUCUUGGGUCCAAUGUGUUGAACUCGAUCUUUACUUUUGAUAGGAACUUCAACAUCCUCUUCUCAAACCUAAAACAGUCAUUGAUAACAAAUCGUGAAGCGAGAUCUGAAGAUGAUUUCUACCAAAAUCUGAUAACCCAAUGAAAUUAAUAAGUAUACGAAAUUAAAUUGUGGGUUGAGAAGGAGAUCUCUGACUUACACAGGUCGACGGGGGCUCUCCGGCGAGAAUUGAUUUUAAGGGGAAAAUGCAGAAGAAACCGAUGCAGGUGGAAGGAAGACUGAAGAAAAGGGUUUUGGGCUUUCGACUGUGUAAAAGGACGAUAGUACCCUUAAUAUUUAUUCCCCUUUGCUUCGGUUUGGUUCGUUUUUCUGAUAGAGCCGCAGAGAAUUUUUGCAAUAAGGAUAGAUAACUAUUUUGAUUUUCUUGUAAUUGCAUUAACUUGAACUGAAGUACAAUGUUACAACGCUUAGGAAUCUAAAACAAAGCCCGAGAGAAAUAUGGGAGACACACUGCCGGCAAAGACACACCUUUCCAGAACCAUGACACUAAACAAGAGAAAUAAAGAAACUACAACAACAUAGACAACAAGAUUUUCAUCUAAAAACUUCAAUCUUUCCAUCAACACUGAUGAUAGGACCACGGCAAACCAACAUUGAAGAAAGGGAGAUAGCAAACCCCAACAGAAGUGUUAAAAACACCAGAUAAAGCACCAUUGGAAUAAAGGAUAAGGUGAUCUCUUGCUUAACCCUUGUCCCAAGGUAAUCAGAGACCCGGCGAAGCCACAAGUUCAAUACACCAUCCUACAAACAACUGUUGGAGACAACCACUCAACAAACCCAAACACUGGAAAGAGCAUGACACCUCAAAGAAACUACAAACCCCACUUCACAACCGGCAAGCGCAAAGAAGUAACCAGAACACGAACAACGCUCUGUAGCACCGGAAAAAAAAAACUGAUUUGGAGGAAGAAACAAAGCUAAUAUUGGAGCCACAAAGGAGACGACUCCCUUCCUACAGUUUCAUAAUGAAACACACCCGACAGGAAUCUGAACUUAUCAAGAAGAGGUUAGCAGCACAAAGGCAUUGCCCUCACUAGACGCCAAGAAACCCCAACCCGCAUGCGAGAACCGAGGAGAGGCCAGACCAGAACCCAACAACAUCAGAAGACUGCAUACCACCACACGAUCAGAGAACCGACGCAAAGACCAUCGAAAAGCAAACUCCACCAGAUCUACUACCACCCACAAAGAAAUAGGGAUGGCAAUAAAUAAUCUGGACCGCGGGCCUGACCCAUAAAGACUUACUGCGGGGCGGAAUCGGGCCACCUUGGUAAGCCCGCAAAAUAUAUAUGUAUUUUUUUUUUGAUAAAUGGUCAUGAAAACACACGAAGACAUUACAAAAUGAAGAUGCGAGUAUAAAUUAUACUAUCGUGAAAUUACAUCGCAGCUAUGAAUAUUACAUUUAUGUAACUUUAAAAUUUUAAAUUAUAUAUCUUCUUUGAAACGUUUGUCAUUUUUCUAUUAAUUUGGAGUAUUUCAGACCUGUGAAAAUCAUAAAUUUUAUCUUCUGUUUGGAUAUUUAAAUAAUCUGUAAAGCAUAAUUUCAUAUUAAUCUGUAAAGUAUAAUUUCAUAUCUACAAAAUCCUCUUGUAACCAACUAAACUAGAGAAGAAUUUAACAAAUAGUUGGCCCUUUAAAUACUUUAAUUAUCUAAGCCCCCAAGCACAUGCUUUACUUGCUUCCAUUCAGAGCAUCUAAAAAAAACUCUAUUUUGAAGUUUCUAAAACUCUAUAUUUGAAGUUUUAAGGUGUUUUUCUCCAAAAGCAAAACUUCAAACUUAACUUCAAAGCUAUUUGUAUUUUAUAAUAUGGUCCUAAUUUAAAUUCAUAAAACUUUUGUAUAUAACUAGCACAUAUGUAAACAUAUUACAAUAAUAUUAAUUAAUGAAAUAUUAUAUUAAAAUAUAAAAAUUUAAACAAAAUAACUUAACUAAUAUUAAACUUCAAGCAAAAUACCAUAUUAUUCCAUAAAGUGAUUUUCGUAGUGCAUAUAUGAUCUACUAGUGCAUUUUGAAUUAAAAAUAGUUUUCCUCAUUUUUAAUUUGUAGAUUAUAGAUAAUAAAUGUUGAAAUCGGGAGAUAUUAAUACUUGUAAAUACAUUAGAUCAGAACAAGAAAGUAAAAGACAAACAUAAAAUAUUUCUAAAAGACUAACUUUUAUCGAUGAUAUUAAUACUCGUGAAUAUAUUCAAUAUGAACAAGAAAGAAUUGUACGAAAAGAUAUCAUCAACAAAAACAACAACCAUCUUCAAUUACACCAAAAAACUAGACAAUAUUUGAAAUUUUGAAGGUUCCAGAUCAAACUUACCUAACUAUUAGUGUUAUUGUAUUAUUCAAAUUUGUGUAAUAGUUAUGUCUUUAUAUAAUUUUUUAAAAGUUUUUUUGUUAAGUUUCUUUUGUAUAUUUCUGUUAUAUAAAUCUAGUUUUAAAUAUUUUAAAUAUUCUUUUAACAAAAUACAAAUAAAAAUAUGAAACUUCAAAUUUGAAGUUUUGAGUAGUGAAACUUCAAAUAUAGAGUUUCACCUCUCAAAACUUCAAAUUUGAAGUUUUGAAGUUCAUUUUUAGAAAGUAAAAAGCUUUAUAUUUGAAGUUAUAGAGUGUCUUUUGUAGAUGAGCAUGGCUCUAUGUCUACUACUAUACUAUGUGAUUGUAAUUGGUUUAAGAUAUUUAAAGGUGUAUAGUGAUUCAGUUAUUGUUUAUGUAUUUAGGCAGUGCUGAAAAAUUAAUUCACGCAUGUUCAAUUUGAUGUUAGCAUUUUAAAAUCAGGUCGUAUGAAAGCAAGAUGAUCACCUAGACAAUUUUGAGUUUGACAUAACAAUAUAAUAUUUGAUAAAAUCUUUCAAACUUUGUUAAUAUGCUCACAAGUCAUAGUAUUACUAUUUGGUUGGUGGCCUAACACAUGUCUUUCGUCAUUGUGAAUAACAGUAAACAAAAUUGGUUUCUCACUUCUCUAGUUUCAAGAUAAAAUAUAGUAAUAAAUUUAAUGUUCUGGGUGGUAAAUUAUGAAAAAGAAGCAUCUCAUUAUAGAAACCUUUUUGGGUUAAGUAAAUGUUAUAAUCAUUCAAAAUUAGUUAUAAACUAGUAGAUUGCUGUCCAAAAAAAAGACUAGAUUAGGUCUAAGCAUUGCACAAGACAAAUGUAUUUAUUAUAUUAUUUAACUAACAAAUCUAUUAAAAUGCUAAUUCUACAUUGCAAAAUAAAUUGACUUCAUUAUUUUUUACAAAAAAUGUAACAAGAAUCUUCAUAUCUCACACGAACACAUGAAUUACAAGUCUACAACAGAUAUUACACCUCAGAAAUUCCAAAAGCAACCCGAUUCUCCCAUACCGGCUAAAGCGGAGGGGUCAGUACCAGUACCGGGGAACUGGGUUUCGUGACUGUUAAGCAACAGUUUCAUUAGCGAAUCAUUGUCUGUUAGAAACAGAGGAUCAGGGUAAAACAGAGGACCAGAACCGUCUUUGGACUCGAGAUGAAUGAGUCUUUUAUCUUCGGUUUCUUGGUCGGAGAAGCAGGUCACGUGAGUAGACGAACCAGGGAAGGAAUCUCGUUGAGAAGAAUCCAUCAACGAAGGUAAUCCGACCGGUUCAAUCCGGUUAACGUGUGAAUCAAGCAACAUUAAAUGGGACAUAUCAACCUUUGUACCAUCGGCACGUUUAUGGAAAACACGGCAAAUAACCCAAUCGUUCUACAUUCACACACAACAAAACAGAACACAAAAUAUCAAUUCAAUUCCACACAAAAAAAGACAAAAAAUGUCUUUGAUGUUAUUGUUACCUUAGCUGUCUGGGAGAGAUGUUGGAUAGAAUAUAUGCCUUCUAAUCGAUAUUCAUGCAUAACCCAAUUGGUUCUUACUCCUUUAGGAGCUCUUCCUUUGUAGAAAACCAGAGUCUUCUUCAUACCCACAAGUGAUUUCCCCUUGAAAAUCUCUUUAUCUUUGCCUGUGGCUUUCCAGUAACCGGCUUCAGUUGCCCGGUUUGUCCUUAAACCGGUUGGGUAUUUCCGGUCUCGCACACAAAAGAAAUACCAUUCUUUCUCCCCUAUCUUAGCUUUCCCUAUUUCACCAAAAGCCAUCACAUAUAUAUUUGUGAGUAAUAAUAAAUUACAGAACAAUAAUAACUAACAUAAAAAAGUUUAAAAAAGGUGGAAAAAGUUUAGAAAAGGCAUGAUACUUCAUGCAGUCUCAAACCAUUUGUAAAGUUUUGUGGAAUCAUGUAUAUUAAACAUAUAUAUUAUUUUUUUUUAACUUCAGAUAUAUAAAUUCAUAUUUACAGCUUUUGUUAUAGUACAAACGUUUUUUAAUUGCUGGAAAGGUUGUACACUUACUUGGUAACUCCCAAGGCUCGAUCUUGUUGAGAUCAACUUCACCAAUGGCGGUGGCAGAGAAGAAAGUGUUGAAGACCUUUUGUUUGAGAUAGUGAGUUAUGAGUUCUUCAUCAGUAGGGUGAAAUCUGAAUCCAGGUGGCAGAUCAAUUUGCUCUUCAUCUUCUACUAUUUCACCGAUUCUUGAUGCAUCGUAAUCCAUUUAUCCUAAUAAAGUUUAUUAGAAACAAUCAAAGUUAUGUAAGAGAGAAGAGAAGGGUUUUUGAAGAGAUGAAUAAAAGGGUUUUGAAGAGAGAGAGUGUGUUUUUUAAGAGAGAAGAGGAAAGGGUUUGAGCAACGAAGCUCCUCUCUAUAUACUAGUUUUCCAUCAGAGAAAUAAGGAAAUAAUAUUAUUAUUGUUGAUAUUGACCAAUAAUUGGUCAAUCUUUUGUGUAUCAAGUUCUUCUUUCAAAGUUUCAAACUAUGAGUUGUAUUGAAUUUCAAGAGUUUUUACCUACUAUAAAGAAAACUUUUAUCUUCGCUCUAAAUGAUUUAUUGUAUAUAAAUGGGUUUUCCGAUUUAAAUCUCGUACAGCCAUCAAAUCAUAUUAUAAAUCAGAAAAUGGGUGUACACACACAUUAACACAUACUAUAGUUAGUUUUCUUAGUAUGAUAGAGAAAGAGGAAGAUGCGUCGAUUGUUAGGCAACUUAAGAUGUGUAAUAUUCAAUAAUCAUUUCUCAUCAUUAAAAAUAAACCUUUCUAUUUCAAGAACUUUAAUAUUUCCAAGUUUCAAUUUGACCAGGAACACUUCACCUGUGGCUCCCUGUCCCUUUUUUGGUUAAUGUGAUAAGAACAAUCUUAUCACAUUAAAUCCUGAUGUUUUGUCCAUUCUUGAAACUAAUUAUUAGUUGCUGGAAAAAGAAUAUCAGUAGAAAACUAUGAUUAUUGGUUUGAAAACAUUUUACAUUGAAACUAUAUGAUUAUAUAAUUGAAACAUUAUAAAUUACCGCGGGUCACUAUUAUUGGUGUUGUGAUUCAGGAUAACUAUGAGAAAAGAGUUUACCAUGGUUGGAUAUAAUUUGUUUUAUUUACUUAACAAGUGUUAUCCCUCUCAUGAAAAGAUUAUGCAUGCAUGAACCUUGGAAAGUAGAUUCUUUAGUAUUAAAGGAACUCUUUUCUUUGUCCUAUUACAGUGCCUACCGUUAUAAGAAAUUAUAAUACUAGUAUGCAAGAUUUUUUAAAAAAGUUCAGUGAAAAAUUGGAAAGAAAAACGAUUUCCUUGUGAAGAUGGGUAAUGAUGAUGAAUGGAUGAGGAUUGUGAUGAUGAAAAUCUGUUAGAAUGUGAAGACAUUUUGAACAACCUCAACCUUAUCAUAUGUGAAUUAUUUGAUUUUUUUAAUGAUCGAAUCACGCGUUUGUGCAUACGAGGUUGUCAUUUGUCACUUCUACAACAUGUGCAUUUUAUUCUUUUCUAGCCAAAUUUCUUCCUCAGUAUUUUUAUUAUACUUGCUGUUUAAAUCCUUAUAUAAUCGAUGUAUUGGUAUUUUUAAUCAACUAUAGUUAUCAUAAAUUGGAAUUUGGAUCGAUACUGGAUAUAUAAUUUAUAUCUUUCUAUUGCACUCUUUUCUUUUCAACUAAUUUCCCAGACUCAAAAGAGAAAAGAUACAUAAGUUGCCAGAAAAAAAAUCAAUGUAUGUUUCACACUAAAAGAGCUAAUGACAAAAUUCAUAGUACAACAAAAAGAAUAUCAAUUCUAGAAGGCCAUAAAGCAACACUCAAGUGAUUGAUGGAACACGUGGAUUUUUCAAAUUAUGUUCCUUCUUCUCAAAAACCCGUUUAAGUUUCCUUGCCUUUUUGACCAAAUUCCCCAAUCUAUCAUUUGUCAAGUUGCUCCUCCAAAAAAUUGCUUAUACUCUUUUUAACAGAGAUGAGUAGGGUUACAUAGACAAAUUGGUUAUAUAUAUUAGGGGUGGGCAAAAAACCCAAACCGAACCGAACCGAACCAACCAAACCGAAGUUAAACCGAACCAAACCAAACCGUGCUCUUUAUGUAACCCAAUUGGUUCAUGUUUUACUCAACCCGAACGGUUUGGUUUGGUUUGGGUUUAAACCGAACCAAACCGAACCAAACCGAUAAUCCAAUAUAUAUAUAGUAAAAAUAUAUAUGAUAUAUAUAUAUGUAUUAACAUAUUGCAAAUUUUAGUUAAAGUUUCGUUUUUCAUUUUUUCAUAACUUCCAUAUCUUUAAAAAAAAUUAUAAAUACGAUUCAAAUAAUACUAUUAUAUAUAAAAUCAUGUAGCAUAAGUUUUUAUAUUCUCACUCUAUCGUUUAUGAGUUGAUUAUUUUUUAAUAAAAGUAUAAAACUAAUGCCUUCAUAUUUUAUAACCAACCCAAACUACACCGAACCAAACUAGACCAUAAUAAUGUAAACCAAACUAAAUCUAAACCAAACCGAACUGAACCGAACCGAAUUAAACCCAAACCGAACCCAACCCAAAGCUACUUUGGUUUUAAUUGGUUUGAGUUUUAUAAAACCCAAAUUACCCAAACCAAACCGAACCCAAACCGAACCCGAAACUAAACCGAAAUGCCCACCCCUAAUAUAUAUAGGGGUUAUUUGUGAAAUAACCAAAAAAGAGUAAUUAGUAUUUUUUAAUGAGAGGUUAGAAAGAAAUAGGAAGAGAAAUGAGGAAAGAGAUGGUUGUUUUGGUUAGAAAAUGAAUUUGAGGUUUUUAUGUAUAUAGGGACAUAUUUCCCUUAUAUACUUUUUGUUUUCAAAAACAAAAACCAAUAUAACUACCGCAUCAUUAUUUUUCAGUUUGUUACUGUGAAUGUUUUUGAUUUGAACGCCAUUGACUAGAUCAUGUCCAACUUCUUCAUGACCAUUAUUCCACUAUCUCUUUAUCAUGGCCUAAAACCUCGCGCAUUCAUAUCAAAAAUCUCAUUAGAAUCGAAUUGGAGAGUUUUCAAAACUCUAAUGCUUCUCCAUAUCAAACAUCUCAUUAAAAUCGCCAAAUAUUAUUCACUACUUCUUAGUUCUUACCUAUUAUGGGAGAGUUGUGAUGAUCCAUCAGUUCCCCAUAUAGAACUUCUACCGUUAUCGCUCUUCCUCGAAGUUAGAAGCGUAAAGUGUUUUAUGAUAAAAAGACAGAAAGGAAAUGGGAUGGCAAGAAACUUAUAGAAUUUUUGUUAUGAUCUAUAAUACAAUUAUUAUUACUUCGAUUUGUUUGAUUAUUUUUUACUCGUGGUUCUUUUACUAAUUGAUUAGUUAAGUUUGGCUACACUUGUUGUCUUAUAAGAUUGAUAUCGUAGAAAAGUGAGAAGCUUACAAAUCAGUUUGACGUUUUUGAUUGGGACUCGGAUAUAGUGGAUUCAGAGGAAGUGGAUGAAGAUUUCAUUGUCGACCUAAUGACUCUAUCAACUAGCAGACUUCUUUAGGAUAGGUUGGUGGCAAUUUCUGAAAUGCAACAGAGAUGAAUGCUACUUUAAGCUCAACUCAACUAAGGCAAAAGGAAGUCGAAUACAUAGGAAACAUGGUUGACGUGGUGGGUUUGGCUAACCUCACUAUGGUGACCAUGGAUAUCCUCUAGAUAGUUUUAGCUCUUGCCCGUUUCACUUUUAAGCAUUCAAGUUGCUUACUUGUUGCUUGUAAAACCUUUUCUAAAUUGCAACUGUUGGCUUUACUGUUGGCUUAAUAUAUAUGUACAAUGAGAAGGUCUAUUAAUAUUCAAUGGUGUGAGUUCUUCUACACACAUUUUCUUAGUGUGAGCCCGUCCCGUGCAUCAUAAACGUAGACCUCAUGUCGAAGUAGAACAUUCAAUUAUUUUUAUGAGAUGAGAGCAUAUAUCUACUACGAACAAAAUGCAUAUUAUUUUACUAAACAAUUGGGACGAAGAUAAUUUGUAUUAUUCGUUCCAAGUCCAACUGAGACAUUUUUUGCCAAUCAAUACAUUAUAUUAAAAUCUUCAAAUGAAGAUGAUGCAUACAAUACAAAAUUGAAAAGAUAAAUGGAAUGAUAAAAAGUUAGAAAAGAAAAGUAUAAGCCUAACAUCCAUGAGUCUCUAGCCUACUUCAAUUCUUGAAUGGAGCUAAACCAGACUUUCCAGUGGUAAAUAAAACUGAAACGUUCUUCUCGAUUAAUUGAGAUAUGUUGGCUAUUAACAAUGAUGAGUUCAUUUGCUAAGAACUUUAUGCUAUUUUUUUUUUAAUCAAAAUUUCUAAAGCUAAUCCUUUUUUCUAACACCUUUCUAAAGCUAAUCAAUCGUUUCCUUUUGUUUUAGGCUUUUAGCAGUUCUUUCCUUUUCAGGAAAUAUAAACUAAAUUCUAUAAAUCUUUUGCUACUUGGUGGUGCCAAAACCACGUGUCGCUUGAUUUUUUGAAACGGCAAGAGUUUCAUACGUAUCGCCAACCCCAACCUUCUCUUGGACACGACACAAGUAAGACGAAUUCCAAAAUAGACACGUGUUUGGAUACAAAUGGGAGUUAAUAAGUAUCAAACGCUAUUCUUAAUUAUCGUAAUUCAGUUGCUGAAAAGAACUGAUUUAGCUAAUUAAGUGGAAUUUCACUAAUUAAAGUUUGACCAGCUUCCUGAUUCGAAACAUGAGUUGCCAGUGGGAACAAACACGACUCAAAACUCCGUUACCAUGAUUCUGUGCAAGACCCAAUGGAGGAAAUGAUGGAUGCAGACUCUUCAGGAUGAUUGCAUGAACUUUGACUGACGUAGAAGUCCGGUCCACAGAGAUCCUAAGAGUUUUAAAUGUUGUUUCGAUGAGUAAUGCAUAACACUAUUAAUUAGUUUCCAAAAUUGGACUGGUUAAGGUAUUCUCAAGAUGAGUUAUAUUGGGUGCUAGUAUUGUAUAUAGGUUUAUUCAGUACGCUAUAUCUUUUUGUGGCGAUGUUUUGUCCUGAGAGAUUCUUUUAUCACUACAAGAAAACAGCUUGUUUCCUACAGACGAUUUAGUCGAAAUAAGCCAUUUCUGAUGAAUUUCGUUGGUUCUAUCUCGUCGAAAAAAAAACGUUUGAAUUUCGUCGGAUUUCUGACGCAUUUCCGACGGACAAAUUUCCGACGAAAUACCGACGAAUAAAUUUCCGACAAAAUACCAACGGAUAAAUUUCUGACGAAAUUCUGACAAAUCUUAUCCGUCGAAACUUUUGUAAACUAUUUUUAAAAUAAAAUAAAUUUUAUUUUAAAUAUAAUAUUUAAUGAAUUACGUAUAACAAAUUUUAAAAAUCAUUUAUAAUAAAUAUUUUUAAUUCUUUAUAUAUAAAUAAAAUAAAAUUUAAAAUUAGGAAAACGUUUUAACUAAAUCUUUUUUGUAAUUGAACCCAUUUCCUAGAAAUUAAAAACAUUUUAAUUAAAUCUAAAAAAAAACAAAAACUUUUUAUAGAUUGAAAAGGUUUAAAAAAAUGUGAAAAACGUUUUGAUAAUCUUUAGUAACCAGAAAAUGUUUUAUAAAUUAUAACAAACAAUAAAAACUUUUUAUAAGAACUUAAAUUUUUUUUUUUGAUGAAUUUUUUUUUUAAAGUUUAAAACGUUUUAUAAAAUCAUAAAAACGUUUUAAAACAACAAUAAUAAUAAAAACUUGAAAAUGUUAUAUAUAUAUUUAUUUAUUCUAAUAAAACUCCAAAAAUGUUUUAAAAUUUGAAAAAACAUUUUAUAAAUAACAAAAAAAAGAUUCACAAAACAACAAAUUAAAUAAACAAACUACAAAAUCACAAGCAAAACCUAUCUAAACCACAACAUAACAACAAAAUCUAACAUCUAAUUCAUAAUAUUCUUCAUCCUAACAUAAAUCCAACAUUCAAAACCUUAAAUUCACAAUUUCACAAUCAAAAAGUAACAUAAGUCAAAUGAGAAAAGGAAAGAGAUGACUUACAUAAUUUGUGAGGUGGAUUUGAGGAGUUUGAGCUUAGAAUCGUUGGAUUAGAGAGAGAGAAUCAAAGAGAAUUUGUGUAUGUUUAGAGAGAGAGAGAGGAGAAGUGAGGAAGAAGAAGGGGCUUGCGCUUUUAUAUUAAAAAUUUCUGACGGAUUGGAUUCAUCAGAAAUCCGUCAAAAUUUUUUAUUUUGACGUUUCACGAAAAAUUAGGCAGGGUUUUUCGGGGCAAAUUUCAAUUUCCGACGAAUAUACCAUUUUCGUCGGAAAUUCGCCGGAAUAUAUCAUUGUCGUCGGAAUUCGACAGAAAUAUAUUUGUCAGAAAUUUCCUACGAAUUUUGAACGAAUUAUAAUAGCCAUCGAUAAUAAAUUGAUGACUUUUAGGGUUUAAAAUCUUCAUAAUGUUUAGAAACACUUGAAAACACACAAACUAAAGAUUGCAAGAUGGAUCACCGAAAAGUAUUUGCUUAAGUGUAUAAGUGUUAACGAGAAAUAUUAGGUAUCCGUCCAUGCAUCAAUCGCAAGAAUAUAUAUAUAGCUUAAAUAAUUGAGGCAAUAUUAAUCUACAUCAUAUUUAUCACUUAAUAUAUCCGGAUGAACAUUUAUUUUGAAUAUUUCAUAUCUAAACUCAUGGUCGUCGAAAAUUCGUUGGAAAUUUGUGUCGAAUAUGCUACGAAAAUUUCGCAAUCCAUCAGAAUUUCGUCGGCAAUUUUCUAGGAAGAAAUUUGUCAAAAUUUCGUCGGACAUUUCUGACGAAUUUCCUACAGAAAUUUUUCAUUUCGUCGGAAAUCCGUCAGAAAUUUCUGAUGAAUUUCCGACGAAAACAUAAACCCCAAAUCUAUACCCUAAAUCGUGUAAUCUUCCUUGGGAGUCGUCGGUAUUUUGUCGCUUAUUUUUGAUGAAAGAAAGUUCGUCGGAAAUUCCUAAGAUAUUUCCGACAAAUGGUAAAAUUUUAUAUUUCUCGAAAUCCGUCAGAAAUUUCUCAGAAAUUUCCGACGAAUAUUUCUUCCGUCAGAAAAUGAAUAUGUUUUCUUGUAGUGUAUUGCACAUGGCCAUUUGCUAAUAAUCCAGUUUUAUGGAAUGGAUCUUGUGUGUUCACGAGGUUCAUGUGGCAGUCUUUUUCAACGAUUGGGACUUGGCUUUGUUUUAACUAGUUUUUCUAGGUGUUCCGGAUUAAUGAAAAUUCUAAGUUGGAAUUGCAGAGGACUCAGGAGUAAAUGGAUUAUUAGUUAUUUGAGAGAAAUUAGGGGGAAAUAUAAACCAGCGUUUCUAUUUUUAUCGGAAACCAAACAGCAAUUUGAUUUUGUGCAGUCUUUUUAAUUUCAUUUUGGAUAUUCUCAUCUCCAUACGGUUGAUCUUAUAGGGAGGAGUGGUGGGCUGGCUCUAUUUUAUGAUUCCACUUAUAAGGUAUAUAAACUCUUCAAGCAACAUAAUUAUAGACGUCGAGACAAAAUAUAACGGAAAAUGAAUUUUUAUUUCACUUGUUUAUGGCGAGUCAAAUCAAAAUUUUAGAGACCAGAUUUGGGAGAGGCUUACAAUAGGGAUCUUGAGGGACGAACCAUGGUUUAUUAUUGGAGACUUAAAUGAGAUUACGGGUAAUCAUGAGAAACAAGGAGGAGUUCUUAGACACGCAGAUACGUUUUUACAAUUCAAUAAUAUGAUAGAGAACUGUGGUCUGAUGGAGUUUCCAAGUCUUGGUAAUACUCUUUCUUGGAACGGAAGAAGAGCUGGACAUGUGUUAAGUGUCAACUGGAUAGGGCAUUGGCAAACAAUGAAUGGCAUAAUCUGUUUCCUUGCUCUUUUGUUGAAUACUUGGGUAUGAUUGCCUCUGAUCACAGGCCGAUUGUGGCAUCAAUAGAGGAUAAAGUACUAAACUUUUGACGGUAAUUUAGAUUUGAUAAAAGAUGGAUAGGUGAGGAUGGACUGAUGGAAUCUAUUGAACGUGGAUGGUCCACUCAGAGGGGUGGACGCCGCAUGGGUAUAGUAGAUAAAAUUCAUAAUUGUUGACAUGAAAUUUCUGUUUGGAAAAAGGAAAAUCCACCUUAUGGGAAGGAAAAAAUAAAUACUCUUCAGAGGGCUCUGGAGGAUGAUCAAAGCGAUUUGACAAAAUCUCUUGAAGUAGUGAUUGAGGUGUCCAGGAAACUAAAAGAGGCAUAUCGAGAUGAAAAAUUAUAGUGGGAACAGAAGAGUAGAACUUUGUGGCAUACAUGUGGAGAUAGAAAUACUAAAGUAUAUCAUGCUUUAACCAAACAAAGACGCAUACAAAACAUGAUUAUUGGUUUAUAUAACGAGGAUGGGGAUUGGAUUAAUUCAGAAGGUGAUAUGGAAAGUGUGUCGCUUAAAUAUUUCAAUGAUCUGUUCCAGUCUACCCCGCCUUCAGAGUUUGAUAGGUUUCUAGAGGAAGUUCCAACUUGGUAACAACUGCUCAAAAUAAUAGACUAACGGCUCAUGCUUCAAAGGAGGAAGUUAGGACGUCAUUAUUUAUGAUGCACCCGGAGAAAG